rnacentral:rRNA from 1 species
UACGCACGCUGGCGGCGUGCUUAACACAUGCAAGUCGAACGGAAAGGCCCUGCUUUUGUGGGGUGCUCGAGUGGCGAACGGGUGAGUAACACGUGAGUAACCUGCCCUUGACUUUGGGAUAACUUCAGGAAACUGGGGCUAAUACCGGAUAGGAGCUCCUGCUGCAUGGUGGGGGUUGGAAAGUUUCGGCGGUUGGGGAUGGACUCGCGGCUUAUCAGCUUGUUGGUGGGGUAGUGGCUUACCAAGGCUUUGACGGGUAGCCGGCUUGAGAGGGUGACCGGCCACAUUGGGACUGAGAAACGGCCCAGACUCCUACGGGAGGCAGCAGUGGGGAAUAGUGCACAAUGGGCUGAAGCCGGAUGCAGCAACGCCGCGUGCGGUAUGACGGCCGUCGGUUUGUAAACCGCGUGCGCCUGUGACGAAGCGUGAGUGACGGUAAUGGGUAAAGAAGCACCGGCUAACUACGUG